ACGAGUGGCGCACGGGUGAGUAACACGUGGGAAUAUGCCUUUUGGUACGGAAUAGCUUCGGGAAACUGGAAUUAAUACCGUAUGGUCCCUUCGGGGUAAAGAUUUAUCGCCAAAAGAUUAGCCCGCGUUGGAUUAGCUAGUUGGUAGUGUAAUGGACUACCAAGGCUACGAUCUAUAGCUGGUCUGAGAGGAUGAUCAGCCACACUGGAACUGAGACACGGUCCAGACUCC
rnacentral:rRNA from 1 species